ensembl:lncRNA
CUGGCACUAAUGAUCAUUCACGAUUGGUUGCAGGCUACUUCUGUAGGGGGUCACUCCCUGGUCCUUCUAGCCUGCCCUGUGCACAGGUUGAGGACAGUCCUGUGGCUGGAGAAAGCUGGAUCUGAAGGUUGUAGAAACUUGCAGAAAGAAGCCAUCAAAGUGACUUGGAAAGCCUUUGUAAGAAGAAAUCAACCUUAUUUGAUGCUUGAACUGAAUAAGCCCCCAGGAAUCUUGAACAACUCCGUUGGAGGAAGGCCUAAAGGGGACACUAAAACCCCUGGUUUGUAGAAACAGAUUAUACCCUAACGGUUGUGAGACACAAGGAGAAGCUGAAAGAAGAAAGAAGAAAGAAAGAAAGAAGGGUUGAUUUUGGAAAUUUUAAAAAAAAUGACUCCUCAUUUCUGGGUCAGGAGAUGUCUUGUCAGCUAUAGGUUAAUUCGGGUAAAGCAGUAGUCCCAUUUCCUCCCUGUUUUGCCUCCAUUUUAUGUAGCAAAAAAACACAGGACAGAGAAAAAAUAAAAUAGAACAGUUUCUUCCCUUGGCUUGAAGGAGUCUGGAGAAAUGCUUCAGCUGGCUGUAUUCCUUGGUUUAACAGAGCCUUCCCAGGUGUCUUGUGUGGGCCAUUUGAGGGGUGCCACUGAGAGAGGGAGAGAGUGCCGUCUUCAUUCUUCAGGGAUGCCAGCUUUUUCUGGGGGCAGUAUCUGCUGAAAUCUGGAGGUCUGUCCCCUGCCUGGACACACAGCGCACAGGCCUCACCAACACCCGCCCAGUGCCGCCCGCCUUGACUUGUGUUGACUUGCUUUCUGAUCAGCAACUGCACAGCCUUUAUUUUCUUCGCCGUCUAAAAUUAGUUUCUGGCUGGACUGUUUUUUUUCACGCAAGAAUUUCCAGAGAUGAUGCUUUGUGCAGAGCUUUUUGCCUUCUUGCCUCCCCUCCCUCAACCCCCUCCUCCUUAUUCAUGAGGUUCACAGUCUUGGACCUUAUGUUGUAGCUUGUUAAUGCUUUUGGUUCCAGCACACUUUCUUUGUUCCCAGAUUAACCUCUCAGCUACCUCUGUCUUCACCCCCCGGGGCACACCUGGGGGUCUUAUUUUUAGGACUUCUACUGUAAAUCUCUGACACAAGCUGCUUCUUGCUCUGGAAAUCCCACAACAAAGAGGUCUCCUCAAUUAACAUAAUUACUAUCGCUCCCGCAUGCAUAAUUUCCCUGCCCCCAUACAUCAGAAUAUCAAUUCAGCAUCCCAGCUCCACAGGACAAUAAGCCCUGGACCAAAUGUAACCAGGACUGAAGUUUCUUUACCAGUGGCCUAUCUUGGUCUCUCCUGUAGUGUCCAUAUCAAUCUUAGGGGAGCUGUGGUAAGGGGAAACCCUGGGGGUAUAGAUGGCAGGUUAGAAAGGAAGAGGAGUUUAGGGGAGAGACUGUGACAUCAUAGUUAGUGCACAAUUCAGAGCAAGACCAGGACUAUUACAAAUUCUGGACAAUAGCUUAAAAUGAAUAGAUCUGCACCCCAUUGUCUGGUUUUAUUAUGAAUCAUUUUGUUUCCAUUUUCUCCUGUGUACAUACCCCUGGUGCCCCACGGAGGGAUCCCACAUCAUCUUGAAGUGAGAGUCCUUUUGUCAUAGCAAUCACGUCCAGUCUCCGGCAUUUCUGUAUGAACAUUAGCAUUGCAUGGUUCUUUCAAGGAGAUGAUCUCUCUUUAGAAACAUCAUAUUCUAACAAGGAAUGCUGCUCUUUGCUCUGAUUUACUAGCAUGAAGGAAUCACACUGCC